GCCGAAGUGGUGGAAUUGGUAGACACGCAGGAUUUAGGAUCCUGUGCUUUCGGGCGUGAGGGUUCAAGUCCCUUCUUCGGCA
rnacentral:tRNA from 1 species